UAGAGCAGCUUUCAAUGUCCAAGGACACAUGAGAACAUCUGAGUUUUAUAGAAUCAUGGAUCUACUUACCACUCGACUUUUUCAUUAGAGUUCAGCUCGUUCUAUUGGGGGAUCCCACCUAAAGGGACUUCCCCGUGUGGGACUCCAGCAGGGAGGAGACAGAGUGAAUGUCAGGAGCAGCCAGUCAGAAGGAUCACUUUGUGAGAGACUCAGAGGAACAUGUGAGAGAAAGUCGGCUUGGACACCUGCAGCCCAGGGCGCACCAGGCAGCUUCUAACAAUCCCAGUCAGUCCCAUAGCUGUCAUCGAAGUGCUGACCCGGGCAGUGGUCUCAUCUGAAGUCCUGACUUAGGGACGAUCUGCUUCUACCAUCACUCCUGUGUUGUUAGCAAGAUUCAAUUCCUCUUAAUUGUUGAACUGAGGGCUUCAGUUUCUCCCUGGCUGUUCUCUCCGGCUGUUGCCAUGUAGAUCUCUCCAUUGGGAACUCACAACAUCCAGUUGGCUUCUAUCAGAGUCAAGUGAGAGAACAAGACAGCGAGAGCAAGAUACUUAAGGGGCACCCACGGUGAGCCAGGCACUGGGACAAAGCCCUGGGGACACACGCAGGUGAAUAAGGCCCACAGAGUUCCGGUCUGGGAUGCAGACAGACGAGUGAACAGGCGCUUAUCAUACUGUGUAAUUUAAGUUACCUGACGUGGUGUCCUUUGCAUGUGGGUACCCACAGCCAGUUGUAAUGUCGCAGCCAGGGAUGCAUCAUGCAAAUCGCCAAGAAUUGCUCCAGUUAGGCCAGAUGGUACCUGUGGAAAUUGAGUGGCCAUUUCUUCCCCAUAUCUGGGUCAGGAGCCUGAAUUUUUUAAAAGAAGAUGCCGAAAAUCCGGCCCUCUCUUUGGAUGACCAUCAAAGCCUAUGGAUUUCCUCUUAAUUGGCAAAGGGAAUGCCUGCAUUCAGGUGUCAGCUUGGAAACAAAACGAAACAAAACCAAAAAACCCUUGAGCUGACUCUGUUCCAUUCUUAAGAAGUUUAGUUGUGAUGUUGUGUGGCUUGCCUAAAGGCUGUGCAGUCUAUUAAUUCAUGGUAGUUAAAAAUUCAUCCUUGAGGGAUCCCUGGGGGGCUCAGCGGUUUAGCACCUGCCUUCUGCCCAGGGCGGGAUCCUGGAGACCCGGGAUCGAGUCCCACGUCGGGCUCCCCGCAUGGAGCCUGCUUCUC